CUCAGACUUUUCUUGUGCCCAUCCUUUCUUCUCGUCCAAUGGCAGGCCUCGUUCCAUCUUGUACCUGCCUUCACCUGUAUAAUGAGGUUCCACUGGGGAAUCUCCAUCAAGGACGCUUCAGAAGCUUGCAGUUUCAUUUCUGUGAAGAAACAUUGGAAAAGGAACAGAGCUGCGGAGAUGAGCGUUCCUACAAUGUGAUCCCAAGCUUCCAGUCAACAGCACUCCUCCCACGAGGUGAGGGCUGGGAAUCAUCAAUAAUUGGCUCGAUAAAGGUAGACCAAGACUUCUCCAUGGAAGCUGGAGCUGAGACUGACGCCAGGUUUUCCUCAAGCAUGUAACAUUUGAGAAUCGUGUGGAUGCCAGAACAAAAUGGGGGGAAGCCUUACUUGAGAAGCCAUUGCUGUCGCUGUACGGCCACCGUGGCUGGAUCUAUCACAGCCUCGUACAAACCUGAGUUAACUGUUGCAAGUGAACUGCUCACUGGAGUGCCAAAGUCUGGACUACCGAAAAGUACAUACGGAGAGCAGACGUGAACAGUACAAGCAGAAGAGUGCUUACCAGAAGUGUGGUCAGGGAACUCCAACCUGAGACGGCCAGAAAAGGAAAACGACUCCUCCUCCCCACUAUUGCCAGGGAUCAAGGAUACUGUGGAAGCCUGCGCAGUUCUCUGCCAGCGCACGCACCUCGGUCCUCCGCGGGGGCUGAGCCACAGAAACCUCUCUGCCUGAAGAAACUUCGAAACCUAAUCCACUAAAGACAAGACGUGACUUUCUGGAGGGUGGAGCAGGGGGAUUCUGGCCGUGGAUUUCUGCCAGGAAGUAGUAUAUUCCCACCGGAACCCAAUCUAGAAGGACACACUAACAUGUCAGAGUUAUUGAAACAAACCAUCCUCCCACACAUAUAAAGACUUAUAGGAAUAAAAAUCCAGGAGAGUGGGAACCAUGUCACCUCCCACCCCCUGUGAGGAAAAA